UUGACCUCGGAUCAGGUAGGAAUACCCGCUGAACUUACAACAGGGAUUGCCCCAGUAACGGCGAGUGAAGCGGCAACAGCUCAAAUUUGAAAUCUGGCCCCUAGGGUCCGAGUUGUAAUUUGUAGAGGAUGCUUUUGGUGAGGUGCCGCCCGAGUUCCCUGGAACGGGACGCCGCAGAGGGUGAGAGCCCCGUCUGGCUGGCCACCGAGCCUAUGUAAAGCUCCUUCGACGAGUCGAGUAGUUUGGGAAUGCUGCUCAAAAUGGGAGGUAUAUGUCUUCUAAAGCUAAAUAUUGGCCAGAGACCGAUAGCGCACAAGUAGAGUGAUCGAAAGAUGAAAAGCACCUUGAAAAGAGGGUUAAACAGUACGUGAAAUUGUUGAAAGGGAAGCGCUUGUGACCAGACUUGGGCGCGGCGGAUCAUCCGGGGUUCUCCCCGGUGCACUUCGCCGCGUUCAGGCCAGCAUCAGUUCGGCGCGGGGGAAAAAGGCUUCGGGAACGUGGCUCCUCCGGGAGUGUUAUAGCCCGUUGCAUAAUACCCUGCGCUGGACUGAGGACCGCGCAUCUGCAAGGAUGCUGGCGUAAUGGUCACCAGCGA
rnacentral:rRNA from 1 species